GGGGCAACCUGGCGGCGAGUGGCGAACGGGUGAGUAAUAUAUCGGAACGUACCCUGGAGUGGGGGAUAACGUAGCGAAAGUUACGCUAAUACCGCAUACGAUCCAAGGAUGAAAGUGGGGGACCGCAAGGCCUCAUGCUCCUGGAGCGGCCGAUAUCUGAUUAGCUAGUUGGUGAGGUAAAGGCUCACCAAGGCGACGAUCAGUAGCUGGUCUGAGAGGACGAUCAGCCACACUGGAACUGAGACACGGUCCAGACUCCUACGGGAGGCAGCAGUGGGGAAUUUUGGACAAUGGGCGCAAGCCUGAUCCAGCAAUGCCGCGUGAGUGAAGAAGGCCUUCGGGUUGUAAAGCUCUUUUGUCAGGGAAGAAACGGUAGAGGCUAAUAUCCUUUGCUAAUGACGGUACCUGAAGAAUAAGCACCGGCUAACUACGUGCCAGCAGCCGCGGUAAUACGUAGGGUGCAAGCGUUAAUCGGAAUUACUGGGCGUAAAGCGUGCGCAGGCGGUUUUGUAAGUCUGACGUGAAAUCCCCGGGCUUAACCUGGGAAUUGCGUUGGAGACUGCAAGGCUAGAAUCUGGCAGAGGGGGGUAGAAUUCCACGUGUAGCAGUGAAAUGCGUAGAGAUGUGGAGGAACACCGAUGGCGAAGGCAGCCCCCUGGGUCAAGAUUGACGCUCAUGCACGAAAGCGUGGGGAGCAAACAGGAUUAGAUA
rnacentral:rRNA from 1 species